CCUACGGGAGGCAGCAGUGAGGAAUAUUGGUCAAUGGCCGGAAGGCUGAACCAGCCAUGCCGCGUGAAGGUCAGUGCCCUAUGGGCGUUAAACUUCUUUUGUGCGGGAGCAAUAAUGGUCACGUGUGGCCAGACGAGAGUACCGUACGAAUAAGCAUCGGCUAACUCCGUGCCAGCAGCCGCGGUAAUACGGGGGAUGCAAGCGUUAUCCGGAUUUAUUGGGGUUAAGGGGUGCGUAGGCUGUGAGGUAAGUCAGCGGUGAAAUGCCCCCGCUCAACGGGGUGAAGUGCCAUUGAAACUGCCUUGCUGGAAUGCGGAUGCCGUGGGAGGAAUGUGUGGUGUAGCGGUGAAAUGCAGAGAUAUCACACAGAACACCGAUUGCGAAGGCAUCUCACGAAUCCGCGAUUGACGCUGAUGCACGAAAGCGUGGGUAUCAAACAGGAUUAGAUACCCCAGUAGUC
rnacentral:rRNA from 1 species